rnacentral:rRNA from 1 species
UGGGGAAUAUUGCACAAUGGAGGAAACUCUGAUGCAGCGACGCCGCGUGAGUGAAGAAGUAAUUCGUUAUGUAAAGCUCUAUCAGCAGGGAAGAUAGUGACGGUACCUGACUAAGAAGCACCGGCUAAAUACGUGCCAGCAGCCGCGGUAAUACGUAUGGUGCAAGCGUUAUCCGGAUUUACUGGGUGUAAAGGGAGCGCAGGCGGUGCGGCAAAGUCUGAUGUGAAAGCCCGGGGCUCAACCCCGGUACUGCAUUGGAAACUGUCGUACUAGAGUGUCGGAGGGGUAAGUGGAAUUCCUAGUGUAGCGGUGAAAUGCUUAGAUAUCACGAGGAACCCCGAUUGCGAAGGCAGCUUGCGGGAGCACUACUGACGCUGAAGCUCGAAGGCGC